rnacentral:rRNA from 1 species
UAAAAGUAGGGAAGCUGGUGAGCUAACUGCCAAGAAAAGCCGCUAUUGUUUUUAUUGUACCCGUACCGUAAACCGACACAGGUGGAUGAGGAGAGAAUCCUAAGGCCGACGGGAGAAGCAUUGUUAAGGAACUCGGCAAAAUAACCCCGUAACUUCGGGAGAAGGGGUGCCUCUAGAAAUAGAGGCCGCAGAGAAUUGGCCCAAGCAACUGUUUAGCAAAAACACAGGUCUAUGCAAAACCGAAAGGUGAAGUAUAUGGGCUGACGCCUGCCCGGUGCUGGAAGGUUAAGGGGAGAGCUUAGCGUAAGCGAAGGUUCGAACUUAAGCCCCAGUAAACGGCGGCCGUAACUAUAACGGUCCUAAGGUAGCGAAAUUCCUUGUCGGGUAAGUUCCGACCCGCACGAAAGGCGUAAUGAUUUGGGCACUGUCUCGACAAUGCACCCGGUGAAAUUGAAAUACCAGUGAAGAUGCUGGUUACCUGCGCCAGGACGGAAAGACCCCAUGGAGCUUUACUCUAGCUUGAUACUGGGAUUCGGUAUUGCAUGUACAGGAUAGGUGGGAGACUAGGAAGUGGUGACGCCAGUUGCCAUGGAGUCAUUGUUGGGAUACCACCCUUGCAGUAUUGGAUUUCUAACAUGUGCCCGUGAUCCGGGCAGUGGACAAUGUCAGGUGGGGAGUUUGACUGGGGCGGUCGCCUCCGAAAGAGUAUCGGAGGCGCUCAAAGGUCUUCUCAGAAUGGUUGGAAACCAUUCGCAGAGUGCAAAGGCAUAAGAAGGCUUGACUGUGACACCGACGGGUGGAGCAGGUACGAAAGUAGGACUUAGUGAUCCGGUGGUAUAAAGUGGGAUUGCCAUCGCUCAACGGAUAAAAGCUACCCUGGGGAUAACAGGCUUAUCACUCCCAAGAGUUCACAUCGACGGAGUGGUUUGGCACCUCGAUGUCGGCUCAUCGCAUCCUGGGGCUGUAGUAGGUCCCAAGGGUUGGGCUGUUCGCCCAUUAAAGCGGUACGCGAGCUGGGUUCAGAACGUCGUGAGACAGUUCGGUCCCUAUCCGGCGUAGGCGUAGGAUAUUUGAGAGGAGCUGACCUUAGUACGAGAGGACCGGGUUGGACGAACCUCUGGUGUAUCGGUUGUCAUACCAAUGGCAUGGCCGAGUAGCCAAGUUUGGAAGGGAUAAACGCUGAAGGCAUCUAAGCGUGAAGCCCCCCUCAAGAUAAGAUAUCCCAUAGC